GCACUGCUGAGGAGUCCCACAAUAGGACGAAGAGGCCUUCCAGUAC
rfam:Schistosoma rodhaini strain Burundi genome assembly, scaffold: SROB_scaffold0012821